rnacentral:lncRNA from 1 species
UAUUGCAUAGUGCAUGACUGCUAGCUUCAGGAAAAAUAAAACGUUUUCAAUGGAAAUAUCAGAUCACCAACCUGAUUCCAAUGAAUUUUUUUUUAUUCACUGAGGCUUUAUGUCAUAUAAAAAUAUGUGACGUAUUACUGCUCUGCUGCCCAUCUAUUUAAGGCAUUCUUCAGUAGACUUGUCAGGGCUUAUCUAAAUCUUAGCACCACUUACGUGUGGCUGAUUGCUUGGCAGGAGGAGGUUCCUGCAUUUUCUUCCUCCUGUGUAUUAGUGAAUUGAAAUCAAGGGAAAAACUGCUUGGCUUUCUGCUUCCUUCCAUGUGGAGUUAACUGCCUCCUUCCUACAACAAUCCGAACGUACUUCCAUCACAGAGUAUCUAGCAGUGUGAGCAAUAGCCAUUUCUCUCUUUUACCUCUUCUGGAUUCUAAACCCAUCAUAGGUAGAGAUAGAACAUGUCUGUGCUUAGAUAGUAUCUGGCACAUACAGAUUGCUCACUUAAUGGUGAAUGAAUGAAUAAAGAAGAAAAAGUGAUGAAAGAAGAAAAACUACAGUCGUCUCUUGGUAUCUGUGGCACAUUCGUUCCAGGACCCUGAUGGAUGCCAAAAUCCUUGGAUGCUCAAGUCUCUGAUAUAAAAUGGCAUAGUGUUUGCAUCUAACCUACAUACAUUCUCCUGUAUACUUUAAAUUAUCUCUAGGUUACUUAUAAUACCUAAUAUAAUAUAAAUGCUAUGUAAAUAGUUGUUACACUGUAUUUUAAAAUUUGUAUUAUUUAUUAUUAUUAUUUAUUUACUUAUUUUUCCAAAUAUUUUUGAUCUGUGGUUGAUUGAAUCCAUGGGUGUGGAACCUGGGGAUAUGGAGGGCUGACUAUAUAUACUAAUGAACACUACUUUGGAUUAUAUGAAAAUACCCAUUUAUGAAAUGGACAGUUCAAAUGUUUCCUCUUUGACUGUUCUUAACCUGACCUCCCAACUUGAAGUAAUCUGUUCCUCUCCUCUAAACAGUUAUGUGUACUAUGUGUUUGGUAAUUAAUUAUGUACUGACUCAUGACAUUUGUUUCUGUUCUUAUAAUACUUUUUGAUUUUCAAAUACCUUAUGACUUUGUUUUUUAUUACAAUUUGUUUUCCCAUCAAGAUUGUAAAUUCUUGGAGGCAAGGGCAAUUAUUAAAUACUAUAUUUGAUACUUAAUUCGCUCCUCUCCUUUGGGGGCUCCAGUUACAUGUAUAUUAGGCCAGUUGAAGUUGUUCCUCAACUCACUGAUUCUGUUUACUUUUUUAAUUCCCUUUUUCCCUCUGUAUCUUAUUUUGGAUAGUUUUGAUUUUUGUGUUUUUGAGUUUACUAAUAUUUAUCCUCUGCAAUGUCUAAUCUGAUGUUAAUCCCAUCCAGAGUAUUUUUCAUCGCAUACAUUGUAGAUUUCACCUCUAGAAGUUUGAUGUAGCUCUUUUUUUUUUUUUGAGACGUAGUCUUGCUCUGUUGUCAGGCUGGAGUGCAGUGGUAUGAUCUCGGCUCACUGCAACCUCCGCCUCCCUGGUUCAAGUGAUUCUCCUGCCUCAGCCUCCCAAGUAGCUGGGACUAUAGGCGCAUGCCACCACGCCCCACUAAUUUUUUUUUUUUUCUGUAUUUUUAGUAGAGACGGCGUUUCACCAUGUCGGCCAGGAUGGUCUUGAUCUCUUGACCUCGUGACCCGCCCACCUCGGCCUCCCAAAGUGCUGGGAUUACAGGUGUGAGCUACCACGCCCUGCUGAUGUAGCUCUUUUUCAUAUCUUCAGUGUCUCCACUUACUUUUUGAACUUAGGGAAUAUAGUUAUAAUAACCAUUUUAAUGUUCUGUCUGCUAAUUCUAACAUCUGUGUCAGUUUUGAUUGACUUUUUUUUUUUUCCUCCUCAUCAGGGGUUAUAUUUCCCUGCUUUAUGAAUGCCUGGUAAUUUUUGAUUAGAUGCCAGACAUUGUGAAUUUUCCUUGUUGGGUACUGGCUAUUUUUGUAUUCCUACAAAUAUUUUUGAACUUUGUUCUGGAAUGUGUUUAAGUUGUUUAGAAGCAGUUUGAUCCUUUUGGAAAGUCUUGCUUUGAAGAUUUGGAAGACUGAAAUAGUUGUACUUAGUCUAUAACUAAUUAUUCUCCAUGACAGUGAAAACACUCUUCUAUGUGCUCUCCUCGUGGCGUGGGGAAUCAUGAGGUUUUCCAAUCUGGAAAUAUCUUUUUGGAUAUUUCUUUCCCCAGUGCUGGGUAGUUGCCACACAUGUAUGCACUGAUCAGCACUCUGCUGAAUACUUGAGGGGGAUUCUCUGUGGCUCUUUCUGCAGCUCUCUUUUCUCUGAUACUUGGCCUUGCAAACUCUAGUUGCCUUGGUCUCCCUGGACUGUUAGCUCAAUUCACUCAACUCAGGCAGUUCACUGAGCUCUGCCUGAGUUCUCCCUUUCCUCCAGACACCUUGAGCUGGAAAUUCUCUCAGGCAGUAAGCUGGAGGACUCGUAGGAUUCGUUUCAUUUGCCUUCCUUCUUCCAGGGAUCACUGCCCUUUACUGACUGUUAUACCAGUCUUGACAAUUAUCCUGUUACUCCAACUUGGCCAGAAAUGGAAGUGAUACAUUUUAUUCUUUCUGUCUGAAAUAAUCCUCCAUCCCCAAUGUUUAAAAACUGCCAUCCUUGACUCCAUGUGACUGUGUUAGGAGCCCUUUCUCUGGUCUCUCAUCAUACCUGUGCUUACAGUAAUUUAGUGCGGCACUCCUCUCCCUGCGUUGUUCUUGCAUUUUUUUUUACCCUCUCUUUUCUCGUUAGAUUUUGUUUCCUUGAGGACAGGGAAUGUCUUUAAUCUCGGGAUUUCUAACACCUAACAUAGACUCAGGUGUGUAACAGUUGCUCAAUAAGUACUUGUUGAAUGAAUGAAUUAAUAAAUAAAUAGGAUUCAAUUUUCAAAGUAUCUGUUGUUGAACAACUUUCAGAAGUUUUUUUUUUUUUUUACAGAAAUGAGAUUAGAUAUGCAUCUUCAUAUAUGCAAUUGAAAUCUCUCUUAAAUUUCUAGAUAAUCAGUUGUUGUUGAUGGCUUGGACAUGGUUUUUACCUAUUUAUUUUUUGUAGCCUCUCCUUAGAAGGUGUUAAUAAAAGCCACCUAGUUGAUGCUUGAAACAACAUGUGGAGGUAAAGGGACCAAGAAUAGAAUAGCCAUAUUCUAUAAACAAACAAAAUGAAGACUAACUUUUAGGUAUCUGUUUUAUGAUGGACCCUCAGAUGUGGUAUAUCCCAAGUCUGCCAGGAGGUUGUUCUUAUCUGAAGUGCCUUUUCCAUGUUGGAUGUACUUAGAUGCCUUUUAUCCAGGUAGACUCAGAUGGUCUGCAAAUAGCUCUAUGGAUUUGGCAUUGGAAAACCUCAUGGUUCCCCAGGCAUGGGGAGAGCACAUAAAAGUGUUUUCUCUGUCAUGGAGAAUAAAUAGCUGUGAGUCGUUGCAUUCUUAUCAACUGGAGACAAUUGACAGUGGAUAUGUGCCACUAGAGUUAUGGUCAAGUGCAAGUUCAUACUAUAUUUGGAUCUUUAAGAGUCGGUAGAAUGAACCAUAUUUGGUAAGCCUCUGAAGACUGUCUUGCUCCAUUUCCUCAGCAGCUCUUGGUUACCAAAGGUGACUCUGGAGCCCCACCUCCAAGUCCCCAUCCUGCACAGUUGGCAUGAUGGAAAUGGCUUGAGGUUCUUGUUCUUUCAGAUUCAGUGUUUUCAUCUGUGCAGUAGGAUAUAAGUAGGAUAAGAUGUAAUUUGUCAGGUUGCUAUGAGGAAUAAAUGAAGUAAUAAAUGUUAGUUGCCUAUCACAGUUUCAGGCACAUGGGAACCCUCUCCCCAUUCCCCCAAACUUAAUUGAAAAGAUAGCCAUCAGCCUCUGAAGUUGAAUUGUGCUGAGUGGUUACUAACAUUAAAGACAUAUGGAGUUAUUGUAUCUGUAUCUUUCACUUAUCAGCUUUUCCUUGAAGGUUUAAUGUGUGUUCCUUUGCUUUUAGGCCCCAUGUUUAUUUUCCUGAAAUGGUGUCUUCUUGACUUAAAGUACAAUCUUUGCUUUUUUAUUCUUUUUUCACUGCUCUUGCCUGGUGAUCCUGUUGUUUAAAGACAUCUCCAUCCUUCCCUAUCCUUUCCCUUUCAAAUCUAUGGCCCAGACUGGGGGUGGCUUUAACUAACAACAGCACUUUGCAUUAGUUAAGUAGAGUGGAAUUUCUCAUUCUACCUCUCAGCUAUUGAUGAAACCUUUCCCUGAUGCACAAAUUAAGACUGGGUGUAUUUUGCAUAUUUUCCUAGAAUGACACAGUGAUUCUGUGGCUAAACCAAGAUUAGACCCUACCACUUUAAAAAAUCUGACUUUUUGCUUAAAGUGUAAACUGUGUUGCUUCUAAAACUACUAGUUGAAUUUAACUUUCAAGUGUACUUUGUAUUUAAAUCUGAUGAUAGUGUUGUUUUUCCUUUUGUCUUGUUUAGAUGAGGGUAUUUUCUUCACUUCCCUGACCCCUAGUGCCUCAGUGACCUAGGCAGCAAGUUUUUUGAUGCUGUCCAGAAUGCUAAUUAAGAUAUUUAUUCUCUUUGGCCCUAUUGUUUAUGAUACUUGUAAUUAUGUCUAUUAGAUGGUAAUCUCUGUUAUCUCCCACUAUACUAAGUGUACUACUCGGCACAUAAAGAAAUGUGUGAGUAUGUGAAUGUAUACUCACAUGUUUGAAUAAAUGUGAAUAAAUCAAUAUAUUUAUAUAGUUACUGAUUUAAAUGUGUUCCGUCUUGGGAUGUGAGAUGGGAUAAUUGAAUAAGAAAUUAGCCUGUGUG